CCAACAGGGAUUGCCUCAGUAACGGCGAGUGAAGCGGCAACAGCUCAAAUUUGAAAGCUGGCUCUUGCAGAGCCCGCAUUGUAAUUUGUAGAGGAUGCUUCGGGUGCGGCGCUGGUCUAAGUUCUUUGGAACAAGACGUCAUAGAGGGUGAGAAUCCCGUAUGUGACUGGCUGCCUGUGCCUGUGUGAAGCUCCUUCGACGAGUCGAGUUGUUUGGGAAUGCAGCUCAAAAUGGGUGGUGUACUUCAUCUAAAGCUAAAUAUUGGCCAGAGACCGAUAGCGCACAAGUAGAGUGAUCGAAAGAUGAAAAGCACUUUGGAAAGAGAGUUAAACAGUACGUGAAAUUGUUGAAAGGGAAGCGCUUGCAAUCAGACUUGCGCAGCGUCGAUCAACCUGGGUUCUCCCUGGUGCACUCGGCGCUGCUCAGGCCAGCAUCAGUUUCGGCGGUUGGAUAAAGGCCUAGGGAACGUGGGUUACUUCGGUGACUGUUAUAGCCCUAGGUGCAAUGCAGCCUGCUGGGACUGAGGACCGCGCUUCGGCUAGGAUGCUGGCGUAAUGGUUGUAAGCGACCCGUCUUGAAACACGGACCAAGGAGUCUAACAUCUAUGCGAGUUUUUGGGUGUUAAACCCAUCAGCGUAAUGAAAGUGAACGGAGGUGAGAACCCUUAAGGGUGCAUCAUCGACCGAUCCUGAUGUCUUCGGAUGGAUUUGAGUAAGAGCAUAGCUGUUGGGACCCGAAAGAUGAUGAUCUAUACCUGAAUAGGGUGAAGCCAGAGGAAACUCUGGUGGAGGCUCGCAGCGGUUCUGACGUGCAAAUCGAUCGUCAAAUUUGGGUAUAGGGGCGAAAGACUAAUCGAA
rnacentral:rRNA from 1 species